GUGCAAGUCGAACGGCAGCGCGGACUUCGGUCUGGCGGCGAGUGGCGAACGGGUGAGUAAUGCAUCGGAACGUACCUUUCAGUGGGGGAUAACGUAGCGAAAGUUACGCUAAUACCGCAUAUUCUGUGAGCAGGAAAGCAGGGGAUCGCAAGACCUUGCGCUGAUGGAGCGGCCGAUGUCAGAUUAGCUAGUUGGUGGGGUAAAGGCUCACCAAGGCGACGAUCUGUAGCGGGUCUUAGAGGAUGAUCCGCCACACUGGAACUGAGACACGGUCCAGACUCCUACGGGAGGCAGCAGUGGGGAAUUUUGGACAAUGGGCGCAAGCCUGAUCCAGCCAUGCCGCGUGAGUGAAGAAGGCCUUCGGGUUGUAAAGCUCUUUCGGCCGGGAAAAAAUCGCUUGGGUUAAUACCCUGAGUGGAUGAUGGUACCGGAAUAAGAAGCACCGGCUAACUACGUGCCAGCAGCCGCGGUAAUACGUAGGGUGCGAGCGUUAAUCGGAAUUACUGGGCGUAAAGCGUGCGCAGGCGGUUUUGUAAGACAGGCGUGAAAUCCCCGGGCUCAACCUGGGAACUGCGUUUGUGACUGCAAGGCUAGAGUAUGGCAGAGGAGGGUGGAAUUCCACGUGUAGCAGUGAAAUGCGUAGAGAUGUGGAGGAACACCAAUGGCGAAGGCAGCCCCCUGGGCCAAUACUGACGCUCAUGCACGAAAGCGUGGGGAGCAAACAGGAUUAGAUACCCUGGUAGUCCACGCCCUAAACGAUGUCAACUAGGUGUUGGGUGGGUAAAACCAUUUGGUACCGUAGCUAACGCGUGAAGUUGACCGCCUGGGGAGUACGGCCGCAAGGUUAAAACUCAAAGGAAUUGACGGGGACCCGCACAAGCGGUGGAUGAUGUGGAUUAAUUCGAUGCAACGCGAAAAACCUUACCUACCCUUGACAUGCCAGGAACUUGCCAGAGAUGGCUUGGUGCCCGAAAGGGAGCCUGGACACAGGUGCUGCAUGGCUGUCGUCAGCUCGUGUCGUGAGAUGUUGGGUUAAGUCCCGCAACGAGCGCAACCCUUGUCGUUAAUUGCCAUCAUUUAGUUGGGCACUUUAACGAGACUGCCGGUGACAAACCGGAGGAAGGUGGGGAUGACGUCAAGUCCUCAUGGCCCUUAUGGGUAGGGCUUCACACGUCAUACAAUGGUCGGUACAAAGGGUUGCCAAGCCGCGAGGCGGAGCCAAUCCCAGAAAGCCGAUCGUAGUCCGGAUCGCAGGCUGCAACUCGCCUGCGUGAAGUCGGAAUCGCUAGUAAUCGUGGAUCAGCAUGUCACGGUGAAUACGUUCCCGGGUC
rnacentral:rRNA from 1 species